rnacentral:rRNA from 1 species
GAACGGGUGAGUAACACGUGAGUAACCUGCCCUUCACUCUGGGAUAACCUCGGGAAAUCGGGGCUAAUACCGGAUAUGAGUGUCCACUGCAUGGUGGAUGCUGGAAAGUUUUUCGGUGAAGGAUGGACUCGCGGCCUAUCAGUUUGUUGGUGAGGUAAUGGCUCACCAAGACGAUGACGGGUAGCCGGCCUGAGAGGGCGACCGGCCACACUGGGACUGAGACACGGCCCAGACUCCUACGGGAGGCAGCAGUGGGGAAUAUUGCACAAUGGGCGAAAGCCUGAUGCAGCGACGCCGCGUGAGGGAUGACGGCCUUCGGGUUGUAAACCUCUUUCAGUAGGGAAGAAGCGAAAGUGACGGUACCUGCAGAAGAAGCGCCGGCUAACUACGUGCCAGCAGCCGCGGUAAUACGUAGGGCGCAAGCGUUGUCCGGAAUUAUUGGGCGUAAAGAGCUUGUAGGUGGCUUGUCGCGUCUGCCGUGAAAAUCCAGGGCUUAACUCUGGACGUGCGGUGGGUACGGGCAGGCUAGAGUGUGGUAGGGGAGACUGGAACUCCUGGUGUAGCGGUGAAAUGCGCAGAUAUCAGGAAGAACACCGAUGGCGAAGGCAGGUCUCUGGGCCAUUACUGACACUGAGAAGCGAAAGCAUGGGGAGCGAACAGGAUUAGAU